rnacentral:rRNA from 1 species
GGCGGCAGGCCUAAUACAUGCAAGUCGAGCGGGUCCUUCGGGAUUAGCGGCGGACGGGUGAGUAACGCGUGGGAACGUGCCCUUUGGUACGGAACAACUGAGGGAAACUUCAGCUAAUACCGUAUGUGCCCUUCGGGGAAAGAUUUAUCGCCAUUGGAGCGGCCCGCGUUGGAUUGGGUAGUUGGUGAGGUAAAGGCUCACCAAGCCUACGAUCCAUAGCUGGUCUGAGAGGAUGACCAGCCACACUGGGACUGAGACACGGCCCAGACUCCUACGGGAGGCAGCAGUAGGGAAUCUUGCGCAAUGGGCGAAAGCCUGACGCAGCCAUGCCGCGUGAAUGAUGAAGGUCUUAGGAUUGUAAAAUUCUUUCACCGGGGACGAUAAUGACGGUACCCGGAGAAGAAGCCCCGGCUAACUUCGUG